rnacentral:rRNA from 1 species
AUUGAACGCUAGCGGCAUGCCUAACACAUGCAAGUCGAACGGCAGCACGGUGCGUAGCAAUACGCAUGGGUGGCGAGUGGCGGACGGGUGAGUAACGCGUAGGAAUUUUCCUUAAAGUGGGGGAUAGCCCGAGGAAACUCGGGCUAAUACCGCAUAAUCUCUACGGAGCAAAGAGGGGGAUCGUAAGACCUCUCGCUUUAAGAUAAGCCUGCGUCGGAUUAGCUAGUUGGUAGGGUAAAGGCCUACCAAGGCGAUGAUUCGUAGCUGGUCUGAGAGGACGACCAGCCAAACUGGGACUAAGACACGGCCCAGACUCCUCCGGGAGGCAGCAGUGGGGAAUAUUGGAAAAUGGGGGCAACCCUGAUCCAGCAAUGCCGCGUGUGUGAAGAAGGCCUUCGGGUUGUAAAGCACUUUUAGUGGGGAAGAAAAAGUUAGAGUUAAUACCUCUAGCGUUGACGUUACCCACAGAAAAAGCACUGGCUAACUCUGUGCCAGCCGCCGCGGUAA